rnacentral:rRNA from 1 species
GAUGAACGCUGGCGGCGUGCCUAAUACAUGCAAGUCGAGCGAACAGAUGAGGAGCUUGCUCCUCUGACGUUAGCGGCGGACGGGGGAGUAACACGUGGAUAACCUACCUAUAAGACUGGGAUAACUUCGGGAAACCGGAGCUAAUACCGGAUAAUAUAUUGCACCGCAUGGUUCAAUAGUGAAAGACGGUUUUGCUGUCACUUAUAGAUGGAUCCGCGCCGCAUUAGGUAGUUGGUAAGGUAACGGCUUACCAAGGGAACCAUGCGUAGCCGACCUGAGGGGGUGAUCGGACACACUGGAACUGAGACACGGUCCAGACACCUACGGGAGGCAGCAGUAGGGAAUCUUCCGCAAUGGGCGAAAGCCUGACGGAGCAACGCCGCGUGAGUGAUGAAGGUCUUCGGAUCGUAAAACUCUGUUAUUAGGGAAGAACAAAUGUGUAAGUAACUAUGCACGUCUUGACGGUACCUAAUCAGAAAGCCACGGCUAACUACGUG